rnacentral:misc_RNA from 1 species
UCGUGCAACCGAGGUGCGAGGGCUGUCGCUGACCUUCAAAGGUCGUGCACGCCCGAGCGCUCUCACCCAAUCCACCUCACCCCUUGUGCAUCACCGCGUGGGUCCCUCCCCUUGAAAGGGGAGGGUUCACGUUUUCACAUAAAACUCGAUACAGUCUAGAAUGUUUAUUUUUGCGGUCACACGCGAUCAAUA